GACGCUUUGGCCGAGUGGUUAAGGCGUGUGCUACAUGGGGUUUCCCCGCGAGAGUUCGAAUCUCUCAGGCGUCG
rnacentral:tRNA from 1 species